UUGACAGGUUUCAAACCUGAGACCUCAUGGGACAACUGAAGUACCUCAGCCAUUACCAAUGUAGCCCUGUUACUUAUAACUCCCCAAGUUUCAAUUUAGAGGUCAAAAUUUGUCUGAAAAUAGUGAGAUUCAAAAGGUAAAGAAGAAAAAUUGUACAGCAAGAGAAUACAUUCAUGUCCCAAGAAGACUAGUACCUGGUCUUAACUUUUUUGUAACAUCUGUCAUAAAUAUCAAACAUAUUUAGGAAUUUGUUAUUAGGAUCUGGUGCACAGAUUCUUGUCCUACAAGGAUUAGAAAAGAAUUAAGUUUUCUUGUACAAUUAGAUUAGGAGUCCUAGAAGCAGAAUUGCAAUAGGAAAGAAACUGUAAUUUUAUAUCCAUAUAGAAGCA